rnacentral:misc_RNA from 1 species
GAUGAAGAACGCAGCGAAAUGCGAUAAGUAAUGCGAAUUGCAGAAUUUCCGUGAGUCAUCGAAUCUUUGAACGCACCUUGCGCUCCUUGGUAUUCCGAGGAGCAUGCCUGUUUGAGUGUCAUUAAUAUAUCAACCUCUUCAGCUUAUGCUUGUUGAGUGUUGGAUGGUGGGGGUUUGCUGGUGUCUUAUGAAGUCAGCUCCUCUGAAAUGCAUUAGCGGAACAAUUUGUUGACCGUUCAUUGGUGUGAUAAAAAUAUCUACGCUAUUGACGUCAGUCAGUUCAGCUUCUAACAGUCCAUUGACUUGGACAAAUUUUUCAUUAAUGUGACCUCAAAUCAGGUAGGACUACCCGCUGAACUUAAGCAUAUCAAUAAGCGGAGGA